rnacentral:rRNA from 1 species
CCUACGGGAGGCUGCAGUCGAGAAUCUUCGGCAAUGGGCGAAAGCCUGACCGAGCGACGCCGCGUGCGGGAUGAAGGUCUUCGGAUUGUAAACCGCUGUCAGAGGGGAUGAAGUUGUGGUGGGUUCUCCCAUCAUAUUGACAGAGCCUCAGAGGAAGCACGGGCUAAGUAUGUGCCAGCAGCCGCGGUAAUACAUACUGUGCGAACGUUAUUCGGAUUCACUGGGCUUAAAGGGUGCGUAGGUGGCUUGUUAAGUAGGGUGUGAAAGCCCCCAGCUCAACUGGGGAACUGCAUUCUAUACUGGCGAGCUAGAGUGAGAUAGGGGUGUCCGGAACUGCCAGUGGAGCGGUGAAAUGUGUUGAUAUUGGCAGGAACGCCGGUGGCGAAAGCGGGACACUGGGUCUCAACUGACACUGAGGCACGAAAGCCAGGGGAGCGAACGGGAUUAGAUACCCUAGUAGUC